GCAGGGAAGAAUUCAAGAUGGCGUGUUUAGGAGCUCUAGCUCCUUGACAAAUUAGUAAAAUGUUAGUCUUAGGAGAAGAACGAAAAGGCUCUCCUAGGCUAAGAAACAGCAUACACAGUGAGAAACCUCAGAAGAAAUAAAAUUCAAGGAAGAUAGCAACAACGAAAACAUCAGAAGGAACACUAAAGUAGUCAAAUCAGCCUAGCAGAAACAAAGUACGUUAACCAAUGGAAAACUGACGGAGAGAAAUAAACUGUUUUUGCACAGCUAAAUGGAAAUGACUUUUGAAUUAUCUGCUUUGGAAGAUUAUCCAUGACACUGUUCUGCCCUGCUCUGCUCUAACAACAUUUGCUUGGGCCCACCAUCUGGUUUUGCCAUGAUUACCUGACCCACUCUAAGUACAGUGACUGCAGCAUUAGCAGCGAGUUUGAUAGACCAGUGUUUUCCCAGUGCUAUUAUGCCUGCCUGAAAUGCCUUCUUUCCUCUUAACUCUGCGAAGCCUGUUCAUUUUUAAGACCCAGAUCAAGACUGCCUCCUCCAUGAAGAAACCGCUGACUAUUCAGGCUGACAAUUUUCUCUCCAUCCUCUGAAUUUCUCUAGCACUUAUCACCUGUAGAACUCAUUAAAAAUCAUGUACUGGUAAAGUUGAAAGCAGCUGGAGACCAUUUAAUCUAAAACCCUCAUUCUUUUGCCAUUGACAUUGUUGGCAUUAUUACAAAAACCCCUGCUAUUUAUCAUUUUUAUUGAUAUUAAACUUUCUACACUCCUAAUUUCUGUCUCUUCAAAUGUGUUUUCUCAAGGAUAGGAGAUAAAGCCUACACAUCCACAGCAGAUUAUCAUCACUUCCAUUUAUUGGGAUUUGUGACCUUUAAGUCAUUGUGCUAGGUCCUUCAUCUAUAUUACAACAACCUCUUGAGGAAAGUAUUAUUACACCCAUGUUAUAGAUGAGGGGCAUGGAAAGGAUGAAUAACUUGCCUGAGAUCACAGAGCUAGUAAGUGGCAGAGGUGAAUUUCCAACCCAGGUCUGACUAACUCCAAAGCCUGUGCUUAAGAAAUGUUUGAUUGAUUAUUUAAUGGAGAAAAAUAAGAUUGCUAGUGGAACAACAGGAAGCUAGUCAGUCUUUCUGUGUCCUCCUCUGGCUAAAGUUCAUGUUCAGAACUGAUAAAGAUUUGAUAUGCAGUUACCUGGCAAAAGAAUCACUUUUCCUACACUAUGAAACUCUCUGGAGAUGGCUUCCAGAUUUUAAGUUAUAUACGCACAUUGCUUCAUAGUCUUUUUGUCUAAAAUGACCUGUCUACAGAGGGAUAAUUGUUUACUUCACAAAUCUUAUCUCGCCUAAAGUGACUGUAAGCACUCUGAUAAUUAUGUACUUCCACAGUCACAGUUGAAAGAGCAUAUAUGGUCUUAGAAACUGAACAAUUUUGUGUGCUGGCUAUAUAACUUCUGCUGAGUAAUGAAAACGCUCAGAGCCCUAAUGAAAAGAUUUCCUAUUUAUGAAAUAGUAAUAAUAAUAAUACAUAUAUCACAAGGCUGUUGUGAUAAUUAAGCAGUGUUUUUGUAAAAGGUGUGGUAUAUAGUAAACACUUGAUAAGUGCUUAAUGGCUGUCAUAUUUCUUAUUUCAGUUUUCCAUCUAUACCUUGUUUUAAGCAAAUAACAUUUACAAAUCAGAUUUAUAAGGAAAAUUGUUUAAUCAGUGUAAUCUUAUAUGAAAUUAAUAUUGAAAAAAAGGAAUGUUUUCUCUUUACAAAAGCAUCUACAAGAAUUAUACGAAAAACUUCCAUGAUAUACUGAAAUAUAUAGGUCCAUUUAAAGUUUUUGAUUUAUAAACAAAUCAUCAUGAAUACAAUUUACAAGUAAAGUAAAAAGUUAGAACUCAGCAAUUGAGUUUCUUCAGCUUGGAUUAGUGGUGUGACAGUAUUGCCUCUGCUAUGCAGACAUAGUUUUCCUUUGCAUUUUCCCAGGCUUUCUCACAGACACAGCCACCUUAUCUGUACCCACACAGAAAUGCUUUGUUAUGUGGCAACCUGCAAUUCCCCAGAGCAGGUAAGGCCAAGCUCCCUUAGAACUGCCCAUUUGACAAGCCAAUGAUAUUAAAGAUGGCUCUCGCCAUGGGUCCCCACUCCACAUUUUGCACAUUCCUCUACCAUAACACCCACAUACGUUUUAACCCUUGUUUAUAUAAUUAUUUUAAUUAUUUUUAAUCCUUGUUUAUAUGAUUAUUUCCUGAUAAAUGUCUGUUGAAUUAAUUUAUGAAGUAUCAUAUGAAAUAAUUUUUGUGGUUAUAGAUGAGGAUAGCAAUGAGAAGAAGUGUUUUUCAAACAAAGUUGCUGAGUAAGAGUCAUUUAACAGAAUUGUAGCACUAAGCUUCUAAUUAAAAUAAAACAAUUUAAAACAU
rnacentral:lncRNA from 10 species